UACGUAGGGGGCUAGCGUUGUCCGGAUUUAUUGGGCGUAAAGAGCGUGUAGGCGGCCAGAUAGGUCUGCUGUGAAAACUCGAGGCUCAACCUCGAGAUGUCGGCGGAAACCAUUUGGCUAGAGUCCGGAAGAGGAAAGUGGGAAUUCCUGGUGUAGCGGUGAAAUGCGCAGAUAUCAGGAAGAACACCCGUGGCGAAGGCGGCUUUCUGGGACGGUACUGACGCUGAGACGCGAAAGCGUGGGGAGCGAACAGG
rnacentral:rRNA from 1 species